UACGUAGGUGGCAAGCGUUGUCCGGAUUUACUGGGCGUAAAGGGCGCGUAGGCGGCAAUUCAAGUCAGCUGUGAAAUCUCCGGGCUUAACUCGGAACGGUCAGCUGAUACUGCUUUGCUAGAGUGCAGAAGGGGCAAUCGGAAUUCUUGGUGUAGCGGUGAAAUGCGUAGAUAUCAAGAGGAACACCUGAGGUGAAGACGGGUUGCUGGGCUGACACUGACGCUGAGGCGCGAAAGCUAGGGUAGCAAACGGG
rnacentral:rRNA from 1 species